CUCUCAUCUCUCCCACCGUCUUCUCUCGUCACUGCACACAGACAUCCGUCCCUAUCAUCUUCAUCACCUGUUUCAUCUCCACAAUAUCUCUUAGUAAUAAUUAUUUUUUUUCCUCUACACCACAGGUCCACAACAGAUCUCCCCUCUCUCUCUCUCCCUUUUCUAUUUAUCUUUUUUUCUUCUUUUUCAUCUAUUUUUCUUCCUCCAUAUCUAAUCACACACAACUUGUUCCGAUCAUCCACGAACAGAUUCAUCAAAUUCCGGCAGCCCACAGCCAGAUCCGUCGAAUUCCGGUCGCCCACGACCUACUCCACCCAGAUCCAGCCACCCCGCCGGACUCCGCCCAAAUGCCGCCACCAACAGCCACCUCCAAUGUUGUCUUUUAGUCAAAAACCGGAGUCAAUGGCCGGUUUCCGGGUUGAGCGGUUUUGUCCGGUCGAACCGGGGUUUAAACAUUUGGACCGGGUUUUUUGUUUUUCCGGUUUUAGGGGUCGGAUCGGACCGUUUUCUUCACGGGUCGCGGUCGGACCGGUUCGACCGGCCGGUCCGGUCCGGUUCUGACAACCUUGGUUUAUUAUAUUGUAUGUCAUAAUUUUGAUCAAACCAAUUAUUUAUAAUAUGUAACAGUUACAUUUUUCAUACAUGUUAUAUUUAAAACACCUAUAUGGAAUAAAGAAAAUUAAAUUUAUCUAAAAAGUAAUAAAAUACAAUAAAGUAAUAUUUUUUAGGAUUUUUUUUCAAACUUAUAACAACUAUAUGAG
rnacentral:lncRNA from 1 species